GACGAACGCUGGCGGCGUGCUUAACACAUGCCAGUCGAACGGAAAGGCCCUGCUUUUGUGGGGUGCUCAAGUGGCGAACGGGUGAGUAACACGUGAGUAACCUGCCCUUGACUUUGGGAUAACUUCAGGAAACUGGGGCUAAUACCGGAUAGGAGCUCCUGCUGCAUGGUGGGGGUUGGAAAGUUUCGGCGGUUGGGGAUGGACUCGCGGCUUAUCAGCUUGUUGGUGGGGUAGUGGCUUACCAAGGCUUUGACGGGUAGCCGGCCUGAGAGGGUGACCGGCCACAUUGGGACGGGGAUACGGCCCAGACUACUACGGGAGGCAGCAGUGGGGAAUAGUGCACAAUGGGCGGAAGCCUGAUGCAGCAACGCCGCGUGCGGGAUGACGGCCUUCGGGUUGUAAACCGCUUUCGCCUGUGACGAAGCGUGAGUGACGGUAAUGGGUAAAGAAGCACCGGCUAACUACGUG
rnacentral:rRNA from 1 species